AUGUUAACUAUCUCCCAUACCUCUCAUGAGUUUAUGGAAGACUUGAAGGAGGCAGAUUUGUGUGCUGCACUUGUUGUAAAAGGAGAAGAGUACCUGACUGUUGAAAUUCCAGCAAAGGUACGUGGUUUAUUGGCAGAAUUUCAGAACAUACUUGGAGAGCCACAAGGCUUGCCACCGAUGAGAGGAAUUCAACAUAGAAUUGACUUAAUUCCGGGAGCAAGUCUUCCUAAUCUUCCACACUAUCGAAUGAGCCCAAAAGAGCAUGAUAUAUUGAAGGAGAAAGUGGAGGAAUUGCUGCAAAAGGGGCACAUUCGAGAAAGCAUUAGCCCAUGUGCUGUACCAGCCCUGCUCGCGCCAAAGAAAGAUGGAUCUUGGCGCAUGUGUACGGAUAGUAGAGCCAUUAACAAGAUCACCGUAAGGUAUAGAUUCCCUAUUCCCCGUCUGGAUGAUAUGUUGGAUCAGCUUAGUGGAGCAAGAGUGUUCACAAAGCUGGAUUUAAGGAGUGGAUAUCAUCAAAUCCGUAUCAGACCCGGGGAUGAAUGGAAAACAGCCUUCAAGACAAAAGAAGGGUUGUUUGAAUGGCUAGUCAUGCCAUUUGGACUCUCAAAUGCACCAAGUAUCUUCAUGUGCUUAAUGAAUCAAGUCCUUCGACCCUUCUUGUCCCACUUUGUUGUGGUCUAUUUCGAUGACAUCUUGAUCUAUAGCAAGGAUGAGGACGAACACUUUGAUCACAUUCGGAAGGUGCUAGAAGUACUAAGGGAAAAUGAGCUCUACGUCAACUUGAAGAAAUGUGUUUUCCUGCAAACACAGCUUCUUUUCCUAGUAUUCGUCGUAAUAUGUGACGGUGAUUUGUGA
rnacentral:rRNA from 1 species